rnacentral:rRNA from 1 species
AAAGGAAUUGACGGGCACCCGCACAAGCGGUGGAGCAUGCUGUUUAAUUCGAAGAUACGCGAAGAACCUUACCUAGAUUUGACAUCCCGGGCAAAGCCAUAGAAAUAUGGUGGAGGUUACCCCGGAGACAGGUGGUGCAUGGUUGUCGUCAGCUCGUGUCGUGAGAUGUUCGGUUAAGUCCGAUAACGAGCGCAACCCUCAUCAUUAGUUACUAACAGUUUGGCUGAGGACUCUAAUGAGACUGCCGUGGAUAACACGGAGGAAGGUGGGGAUGAGGUCAAAUCAUCAUGCCCCUUACAUCUAGGGCUACAGGCGUGCUACAAUGGCCAAUACAAAAAGAUGCAAUAUCGUGAGAUGGAGCAAAUCUCUAAAAUUGGUCUCAGUUCGGAUUGAAGUCUGCAACUCGACUUCAUGAAGCUGGAAUCGCUAGUAAUCCUGAAUCAGAAUGUCAGGGUGAAUACGUUCCCGGGUGUUGUACACACCGCCCGU